rnacentral:lncRNA from 1 species
CUGCCUUCAGUUUCAUAUGGAUCGAUUGUAGCUUCUUUGGCUCGUGCAUACUUUUGUACCUAUACAAGGAGGUCAGUAUAAUUUCUUAAAAAUUUUUUGUCUAGAACAAAAAAUAAGCUUAGAAUUCUCAGUUCUUGCUUCGUAGACCACCAAUGUGGCAACACUGAACUGAGCCAUGUAAUCUCUCAAGGACUCAUUUUUUUUGCCAGAUUUGAGAAGAGGCCAUCAGAGUUUAGUGGCUGCUUCCUGCUGCUACUGAAGUGUGCCAUGAACUACCUUCACUACUACUCGAAGGAGUGAAUUAUACCUGGCUAAAGAUCGAAAUACUGCACUUGAGCAGAAUUCCUUAGUGUGGUGGGGAAGGGAAGGCAUAGGAGGGCAUCCAAGGUACCUUGAAUCAACAUGAGAGCUUUAUAGCUCUCAAGAUGGUCUAGUGGAUUAGAGGAGCCAUCAUAUGGCUCCAACUUUGGCAUAUUGAAUCGAGCUGGAAUUGGUUCUUCCAUAAUCCUCUGAGAAAAUAGAUGUGAGUUGAAGUCGAGACCAUCCUAUCCCUAGCUCCCCUCUUA